rnacentral:lncRNA from 1 species
GGGAACCGCUCCCUGUGGGAUGGGGCCUGGCAGGGACUUCAGGAACAACUCUGGGUGGCCGUCGGAGACUCGGGUGAAGCCAAGAAGCCGAGGUGGACGCAGGCCAGUAGGUCCUUAAUGCUGGUGCAGUCUCAUCCAAAAGGCCAUCUUCUCCUCCCUGAGCUUCACACCCACCCUUGUGGUGAAAUCCACUUGCAGGACACAGCCAGACUCCUGCAGUUUCUUGCAUGAGACCAACCUGCCCAGACUUUGUGCAUAGACAAGGAACCUAAAUCUCCACUGAGAGGGAAGG